GCUGGUGUUAGCAUUUUGUCGUGCCUGCCUGGUUUAUCCCACCAGAUGGUGCUGUCAAGCUAUCAUUGGAUCCCAGUGUCACCUGUUGUCUGCAAACACCAUCUCUCCUGCUCUGGCACAGCCUCCGGUUUCUCUGACUUAUUCUGCAACAAGAUGUUUCUGGAGCUGAAUCACCCCUGUCAAGAACCACCUGGAAUUCACAGAUAAAUCUCGCAAGGAGCUCCUGUGCGUGACCGGUUGAUGGCAGAGUGAUGUUCCUUCCACUUAUGGAUAAUGGCCCCAAUGGUGCUUUCUGGAACAAUUAGGAGUUGCAAAAUCCAGCGUGCUGUUAUGUAGCACAACAAUCUUGUUGCGAUGGUCUUGGGAAUGGUCUUUGCCGCUACACAUCAUGAUGUUUCUUGUGUGAUGGCUUGUUAACAAAUAAUUUAUUAAAUUGCAUUCAGAGGUGGAUAAGCCUUUUUUCUAACUCAGCAACAUGAAGUAACUCAUCUGGUUCUAAUUUGUGCAGGUACUUUGCCUUUUGUGUACUGCUUUUUCUAAGUGUCAACGUGUGUUGAGUGUUGUAAUUUCACUUUAUUAAACAUACGUUUAUUUAUGGAUUGUAAUAUUAUGAUUUCUUUGUGUGUGAAUUACUGAAAUUUAUGCCAAUGUCUUGUACAGGUUUCAUGAAUUGCUGUAUUGGAACUCUUUAAUAGUAAUUAAAAAAAAAAAAAAAAAGAAAAAGUUGACAUUUUGAAUACUUAUUUCUCCCACUGUACACUGCCAGUGAAUAAAAGGCAAAGUGAGAGACAUAAAAAGAAGAGCGUGUGUGGUCUAUGCGUGCUUCUUCAUGCAUGUUCGUUGUGUAUAAAGUUGUUUGUUGCAUAUUUUGUAGCUUGUCACCAGCUGGUCGACUAACCCCACUCUACUAUAAAUCUUACCUACGUACAGUAAAUCUGUCUUGUAACGUUUAAUGAAAGACUAGGUACCACUAA